GCAAUUAUACCAAUAUUAUUGCACCGGAUCCUAUUAGAACUCCGCAGUUUAGCAUGCUUGGACGAAAAUAAUAUUAGAAUGAGUGAUUCCCUAGGAAGUCUUCGUAUUGCAUUUC